rnacentral:rRNA from 1 species
AACGAACGCUGGCGGCGCGCCUAAUACAUGCAAGUCGAGCGAGAAGACGUAGCAAUACGUUUGUAAAGCGGCGAACGGGUGAGGAGUACAUGGGUAACCUACCCUCGAGUGGGGAAUAACUAGCCGAAAGGUUAGCUAAUACCGCGUACGCUCCUUGGACUUCGGUUCAGGGAGGAAAGCGAUACCGUGGGUAUCGCGCUCUUGGAUGGGCUCAUGUCCUAUCAGCUUGUUGGGAGGUAACGGCUCACCAAGGCUUCGACGGGUAGCUGGUCUGAGAGGACGAUCAGCCACACUGGCACUGCGACACGGGCCAGACUCCUACGGGAGGCAGCAGUAAGGAAUAUUGCGCAAUGGGCGAAAGCCUGACGCAGCGACGCCGCGUGGGGGA